AUCCCGUUGUAGUUCAUAAGGGUGAUGAUUGGACCUUCAUACAUUUGUAUGAGAUGUGCCUCCCACUAAACCUUGUUACAACUUUGGCACAUUACGCAUCUGACU